UACGUAGGGUCCAAGCGUUAUCCGGAAUCACUGGGCGUAAAGCGUGUGUAGGCGGAAGUUUAAGUGAGAUGCGAAAUCUUAUGGCUCAACCAUAUAGACGGUAUCUCAUACUGGGCUUCUAGAGGACGGCAGAGGCAAGUGGAAUUAGUAGUGUAGCGGUAAAAUGCGUAGAUAUUACUAGGAACACCAAUGGCGAAGGCAGCUUGCUGGGCCGUCCUUGACGCUGAGACACGAAAGCGUGGGGAGCGAACAGG
rnacentral:rRNA from 1 species